AAUAAGCACCGGCUAACUCUGUGCCAGCAGCCGCGGUAAUACAGAGGGUGCGAGCGUUAAUCGGAUUUACUGGGCGUAAAGCGUGCGUAGGCGGCCAUUUAAGUCAAAUGUGAAAUCCCCGAGCUUAACUUGGGAAUUGCAUUCGAUACUGGAUGGCUAGAGUAUGGGAGAGGAUGGUAGAAUUCCAGGUGUAGCGGUGAAAUGCGUAGAGAUCUGGAGGAAUACCGAUGGCGAAGGCAGCCAUCUGGCCUAAUACUGACGCUGAGGUACGAAAGCGUGGGGAGCAAACAGGAUUAGAUACCCUGGUAGUCCAUGCCGUAAACGAUGUCUACUAGCCGUUGGGGCCUUUGAGGCUUUAGUGGCGCAGCUAACGCGAUAAGUAGACCGCCUGGGGAGUACGGUCGCAAGACUAAAACUCAAAUGAAUUGACGGGGGCCCGCACAAGCGGUGGAGCAUGUGGUUUAAUUCGAUGCAACGCGAAGAACCUUACCUGGCCUUGACAUACUAGAAACUUUCCAGAGAUGGAUUGGUGCCUUCGGGAAUCUAGAUACAGGUGCUGCAUGGCUGUCGUCAGCU
rnacentral:rRNA from 1 species